UACAGAGGUCUCAAGCGUUGUUCGGAUUCAUUGGGCGUAAAGGGUGCGUAGGUGGCGCGCUAAGUCAGGUGUGAAAUUUCGGAGCUUAACUCCGAAACUGCAUUUGAUACUGGCGUGCUUGAGGACUGGAGAGGAGACUGGAAUUCACGGUGUAGCAGUGAAAUGCGUAGAGAUCGUGAGGAAGACCAGUGGCGAAGGCGGGUCUCUGGACAGUUCCUGACGCUGAGGCACGAAGGCCAGGGGAGCAAACGGG
rnacentral:rRNA from 1 species